CAACUUCUGAAAUGUUGACCUCGGAUCAGGUAGGAAUACCCGCUGAACUUAAGCAUAUCAAUAAGCGGAGGAAAAGAAACCAACAGGGAUUGCCCCAGUAACGGCGAGUGAAGCGGCAACAGCUCAAAUUUGAAAUCUGGCCCCUAGGGUCCGAGUUGUAAUUUGUAGAGGAUGCUUUUGGUGAGGUGCCGCCCGAGUUCCCUGGAACGGGACGCCGCAGAGGGUGAGAGCCCCGUCUGGCUGGCCACCGAGCCUCUGUAAAGCUCCUUCGACGAGUCGAGUA
rnacentral:rRNA from 1 species